UAUGUAUGUUAUUUGGUGUUCAGUCUCUGA
rnacentral:piRNA from 1 species